UGGCUCAGAACGAACGCUGGCGGCAGGCCUAAUACAUGCAAGUCGAACGCUCCAGCAAUGGAGAGUGGCAGACGGGUGAGUAACGCGUGGGAACCUUCCCAGUGGUACGGAAUAGCUCAGGGAAACUUGAGGUAAUACCGUAUACGCCCCAAGGGGGAAAGAUUUAUCGCCAUUGGAUGGGCCCGCGUCGGAUUAGCUAGUUGGUGGGGUAAUGGCCUACCAAGGCGACGAUCCGUAGCUGGUCUGAGAGGAUGAUCAGCCACACUGGGACUGAGACACGGCCCAGAGUCCUACGGGAGGCAGCAGUGGGA
rnacentral:rRNA from 1 species